rnacentral:rRNA from 1 species
AUGCCACAGGCCUGGUCUAGGCACAUCCCCUCACGGCCUUGCUCCUCCACCACCACUCACUCCUCUCCAUUCUUUCUCCCCCUGCCAGCCACGGCACUCUCCCUCUCCCGCCUCCCUUCGCCGCAGGACUCCAUGAGGAGUGCGCGGCUGCGCGUGUCUGGCCAGCAGCAACAGCUACGACAGUUCCACGCCGGGAGAAGCUGCGCGCUGGGCGAUGUGGAGGACGACAACCUGCUGCAUCCUCACUCGCGCGCCCUCCUCGUCCCGAAGAGGCGUCGCUGGUGGUGUCCUCCGCCGGAUGCAGGUUGUGCUCGAGCCAAGGCUCUUCUCUUUCAUCAAUUCCAGCACAAAUGUUGGAGGCCCACACGUCAUCCCCAUCUGUCUCCUGGACUUGUGACGGAUGGAAGGCUGCCGGAGAGAUCGAGGCUCGAGGGAGAGGGAGGAGCUGGAGAGAUGGAGACCGCUUCUCCCGGCGUGGAAUUCGGCCGCGAACUCCGCGAGGAAGGCGGCGGUGCCGCCGGGGAGGUCGAGGCUCGAGGGAGAGGGAGGAGUUGGAAAGAUGGAGACCGCUACUCCCGGCGUGGAAUUUGUCCGCGCACUACGUGA